rnacentral:lncRNA from 11 species
CAUGAUUGGCAACAACUCUCCUGCCAAUUACAUCUUCAGCUCAACUUGGAAAUAGUGACUUAAAACUAUCCACCUUCUGAAAUUGUUCUUCUGUUUGCCAUCAUGAUCAAACACAACUGCGAGCUUUACAAGAGCUUGCCUACUCAUGCAGACUUAAGAUCCCUGCUUGAUGCUCAAGUAAACUAGUGGAGGUAUAAUAAUAAACAACUUCCCUCACAAAUAGUUCUCAUGUUGAGAAAUCAAUCAGUGGGACUGCAUUCUCCAUUUCAUCUGAAAUUUAGCAGGCAAGACUAAAAGGACCUACCAUGCAUGGACAAUAUGUAGUAUCAGACUUACUUUGGUUGCAGAAGAGUGUGGGAAAACACAAUUAUAUACAGAAACUCUGAGAUUAGAUCAGGCAGAAAUGACUGCGAAUUUCUUUCAUACUGUGAGAGAGCCUUAGGUCUUGAAGAAGACAAUGGCAGACCUCCUCCGAAAGGGUGUUGCAAGAAAAGUUUACAGUAGAUUUGCUUUAGGGUUGCCAUACAUUGGAAAGGACUUGAUAGUGCACAAUAGCAAAAAACAAAACAAAACAAAAACAAACAAACAAACAAAAAGGAAAAUGCAGGAAUUACAGUAUGACAUCUAUAAAAGGCAAGAUCAAGAAUUCAUCUUCAUCCUUUAGCUCAUUGCAAAGACCAAUGAACAUUUGACAGAAGUUAAGAUGAAAUAAAUAUGUAAUGUGCUAAGUGCAAUAUGACACUGUACAGCAAGUAAUCAAGCUGUAGAUCUCAGGAAAACACACUAUCUCUGAAGCUUAAGAGGAUUUUAUGAAGGAUUAUAGGGAUAAUGAGAAAAUGCAUUGCUUCAUUUAACAGAAAACGGCCAGUUGCACUCCAC